GACGAACGCUGGCGGCGUGCUUAACACAUGCAAGUCGAACGAAAAGAGGGAAAGAGCUUGCUCUUUCCGGAAUUGAGUGGCAAACGGGUGAGUAACACGUAAACAACCUGCCUUCAGGAUGGAGACAACAGACGGAAACGACUGCUAAUACCGAAUAAGUUCCAAGAGCCGCAUGGCCCAUGGAAGAAAAGGUGGCCUCUACCUGUAAGCUAUCGCCUGAAGAGGGGUUUGCGUCUGAUUAGCUGGUUGGAGGGGUAACGGCCCACCAAGGCGACGAUCAGUAGCCGGUCUGAUAGGAUGAACGGCCACACUGGAACUGAGACACGGUCCAGACUCCUACGGGAGGCAGCAGUGGGGAAUCUUCCGCAAUGGGCGAAAGCCUGACGGAGCAACGCCGCGUGAGUGAUGACGGCCUUCGGGUUGUAAAACUCUGUGAUCCGGGACGAAAAGGCAGAGUGCGAAGAACAAACUGCAUUGACGGUACCGGAAAAGCAAGCCACGGCUAACUACGUG
rnacentral:rRNA from 1 species